AUCAAUAAGCGGAGGAAAAGAAACCAACAGGGAUUGCCUUAGUAACUGCGAGUGAAGCGGCAAAAGCUCAAAUUUGAAAUCUGGCGCCUUCGGCGUCCGAGUUGUAAUUUGGAGAGACAUCUUCGGAGUAGACGCCGUCCUAAGUUCCUUGGAACAGGACGUCACAGAGGGUGAGAAUCCCGUGCCUGGAUGGCUGUUCUACUUCAUGUGAAGUGUCUUCGACGAGUCGAGUUGUUUGGGAAUGCAGCUCAAAAUGGGAGGUAAAUUUCUUCUAAAGCUAAAUAUUGGCGAGAGACCGAUAGCGCACAAGUAGAGUGAUCGAAAGAUGAAAAGCACUUUGAAAAGAGAGUUAAAAAGUACGUGAAAUUGUUGAAAGGGAAGCGCUUGAGACCAGACUCGAUCAGUGGUGAUCAGCGGUGCUUCUGUACCGUGCACUUGCCAUUGAUUGGGCCAGCAUCGGUUUAGACGGCGGGAUAAAGACCUGAGGAAUGUGGCUCCCUCCGGGGAGUGUUAUAGCCUUGGGUGCAAUGCCGCCAGUCUGGACCGAGGACCGCGCUUCGGCUAGGAUGCUGGCGUAAUGGUCUUCAGCGACCCGUCUUGAAACACGGACCAAGGAGUCUAACAUCUAUGCGAGUGUUCGGGUGGAAAACCCUUGCGCGUAAUGAAAGUGAACGGAGGUGAGAACACUUCGGUGUGCAUCAUCGACCGAUCCUGAUGUCUUCGGAUGGAUUUGAGUAUGAGCAUAGCUG
rnacentral:rRNA from 1 species